rnacentral:rRNA from 1 species
CCCUUAGAGUUUGAUCCUGGCUCAGGACGAACGCUGGCGGCGUGCUUAACACAUGCAAGUCGAACGAAGAGCGAUGGAAGCUUGCUUCUAUCAAUCUUAGUGGCGAACGGGUGAGUAACGCGUAAUCAACCUGCCCUUCAGAGGGGGACAACAGUUGGAAACGACUGCUAAUACCGCAUACGAUCUAAUCUCGGCAUCGAGGAUAGAUGAAAGGUGGCCUCUACAUGUAAGCUAUCACUGAAGGAGGGGAUUGCGUCUGAUUAGCUAGUUGGAGGGGUAACGGCCCACCAAGGCGAUGAUCAGUAGCCGGUCUGAGAGGAUGAACGGCCACAUUGGGACUGAGACACGGCCCAGACUCCUACGGGAGGCAGCAGUGGGGAAUCUUCCGCAAUGGACGAAAGUCUGACGGAGCAACGCCGCGUGAGUGAUGACGGCCUUCGGGUUGUAAAGCUCUGUUAAUCGGGACGAAAGGCCUUCUUGCGA